GAAUAUUGAUUCAAAUCCACUUGGACCUACUUUGCCAUCCAACUUCUUCGCUGGCUUUAAUAAGAUGGAGCUUCUUUCCAUGAGUGGGUGCCACCUUGAAGAUAUCGAAAAUGGAACAUUUAAAGCCAUGCAAAAUCUUACAGAACUUGAUCUGUCCUUCAAUAAGCUGAAUCAUAUACACAAGGGUACAGUAGAAGGACUUACGGAUCAGCUCACAAAU